CCUCCUUUCUUUUCAUUGUUUCCAGAUGAAAUGGAACAGGUUUUCCUAAAAGCAUACCAUGGACCUUGCCAAAGUUUGAUCAUACCUGCAGAACCAUGACCAUAGCCUCUGGAUCCUCCCUGUACUCUCAGAUUUGCUUCUAUUUGCAUUGCCCAGCUGGAGAGAAGGUUAAAAUGAAGAUUUAUACUUAGCGAUGCAAGGUGGUUUGCAGCCACCCAGUACCAAAGUCUAGGAGACAACUUGGACCUGGGACCCUAACUUCAUCAAGAAGCUGAUCCUGGUGGGCCCUAUACAGGACUCUGCCCUUACUCAAUGCACAGCAAGAACAAAGCAGAGUCCUCUGUUAGUCUCAGGCUAUGUUUCCUGGGUGAAGUACGUUUCCUCAAUAUACCAUCACUUUUCCUUGAUGAAGGCUUGCAGUGUA